AAGAAGAUAAAAGGAAAGAAAUGUGGGUGAGUCUGGAUUUGUCAGUUUUUACAUACCUCAUCAAAACAAAGGAAAAAGUGAGAGUUGCACUUCUUCUUUAACAGUUGAAAACUGUUCUACAAAAGACAUUGCCCAGAGGCGGAAGAGGCCAGCCAUGGACUGGAGAUGGUGCCUGCUGAGCACCUCUCUGAUGACUGUGGUCCAAAACACAAAGGACUCUCAACAAUAAGAAAACAACCUGAUUAAAAUACGGGCAAAAGAAGAGACACCAAAGACACACAGGUGGCAGGCAAGCAUGGGAAAAGGUGCCGCACAUCGUCAUCAGGGAACUGGGAUCGGAUCAGCUCUGAGAUCCCAGAACCCCACGCGCAUGGUGAACACACCACCUGGCAGCACUGACGUGCCCGGGAAGGGGGCAGCAGGGAGGCUCGCCCUCUGCUGGCGGGAAAGAGAAGUGGCCAGCCCGGGGAAGAGCCCGCGGAGGCCCUCACAGACCUGCCUGCUCUCAGCCUCACCCAGCCCUCUCAGCCCAAGGCAUUUAUCCAAAAGAGGAGAAAACCUGUGUCCACCCAGAAACCUGGGUGCGGAGGGUUACAGCCCACACUGUCUUUCUUCCAGUGACGGAUAAAUACAUGGUGGUUUAUCCAGACAGUGGACCGGUACAUGCCGCCAAAGUGGAACGAGGGGAGCCACAGGAAGGCAAGCCCGUGGCUGGGUGGCGGAGUCGGUCUGGAACGCUG
rnacentral:lncRNA from 1 species